UACGUAGGGAGCAAGCGUUGUCCGGAAUCAUUGGGCGUAAAGCGCGCGUAGGUGGCCUCAUAAGUCCGCUGUGAAAGUCAAAGGCUCAACCUUUGAAAGCCGGUGGAUACUGUGGGGCUAGAGUACGGAAGAGGCGAGUGGAAUUCCUGGUGUAGCGGUGAAAUGCGCAGAUAUCAGGAAGAACACCCGUGGCUAAGGCGGCUCUCUAGUACGGUACUGACGCUGAGACGCGAAAGCGUGGGGAGCGAACAGG
rnacentral:rRNA from 1 species